rnacentral:misc_RNA from 1 species
ACGUGUGUUUUGUUAUUACCGUCAUAACGUUUAUUUGUAUCGAGUCGUUUUUGGUGCAUGCAUUUCAAAUCUGAUGGCUUUCAGGUUUAAUUUUAAUCAAGACGACAGUGGCAUAGCCGAGGAAGUCAAUGGAGGAGUUGUCCCUGUGCUGGAGAAAAAGGCUGAAAUGUUGGCAGUUGCUGAGGCAGUGGAACUCGAGUAUGAAGAAGAAAAGUUACAGUUAGAAGACGUUGCUAUGGAAACACUGACAACAUCAGAGGGGGAGGAGGUGAAAUAUUGCAGUGCUGAAGAUAUACAAGACAGGCUGAAUCAGGAGAAAACAGACUCAGUCAUUGUUAGGGCUAAUUCAUCUAAUUCUGAUCUUAUUCCACAUGUAUAUGAAGGUGGCCUCAAGGUAUGGGAGUGUUCUGUGGACUUGACACACUACCUGUCUGGCUUAAAACUGGCAUUUAGAGGAUUGAAAGUUCUAGAGCUUGGCUGUGGGGCAGGGCUGCCUGGUUUGUAUACAUACUGUCAGGGGGCACUUGUAGACUUCCAAGAUUAUAAUAAAGAGGUUCUUCAGUAUGUGACCAUGUGCAAUGUUUUCCUCAACACUCCACCAGACCAUGGAGAGUGGUGCAGAGAAAGAUGCGGCUAUUACGCUGGGGACUGGAGCAUGGUGCUACAACUGCUGAACUCACGAAAUAAAAAAUACGACUUGAUCCUGACAUCAGAGACUAUCUACAGUCUGGAGUCCCAACAAAGCUUGCUGAGCUGUCUGCAGGAGCUGAUAAAAGAUGAUGGUGACAUAUAUGUAGCUGCUAAAACAUGUUAUUUUGGAGUUGGUGGGAGCACACAGAAUUUCCAAGACUUGGUCUCCAAAAAUGCCGUACUUGAUGUUGAGGUGGUGAAGACUUUCACUGAUGAAUAACAACCUGUCAACGUAGUGUGCAUCUUGAUAGUCCGAAGGCUAUUUAAUCCGAGGCUUUAUCGGUCCCAGAACGACGAAAUACUGGCGUACAAAGGGAAAUUCUCCAUCUGAAACCAAAGAAGA